rnacentral:rRNA from 1 species
CAGCCGCCGCGGUAAUACGUAGGUGGCAAGCGUUGUCCGGAAUUAUUGGGCGUAAAGCGCGCGCAGGCGGUUCCUUAAGUCUGAUGUGAAAUCUCGCGGCUCAACCGCGAGCGGCCAUUGGAAAAUGGGGAACUUGAGUGCAGGAGAGGGGAGCGGAAUUCCACGUGUAGCGGUGAAAUGCGUAGAGAUGUGGAGGAACACCAGUGGCGAAGGCGGCUCUCUGGCCUGUAACUGACGCUGAGGCGCGAAAGCGUGGGGAGCGAACAGGAUUAGAUACCCUGGUAGUCCACGCCGUAAACGAUGAGUGCUAAGUGUUAGAGGGUAUCCACCCUUUAGUGCUGCAGCAAACGCAUUAAGCACUCCGCCUGGGGAGUACGGCCGCAAGGCUGAAACUUAAAGGAAUUGGCGGG